rnacentral:rRNA from 1 species
CAGCAGCCGCGGUAAGACAGAGGAUGCAAGCGUUAUCCGGAAUGAUUGGGCGUAAAGCGUCUGUAGGUGGCUUUUCAAGUCCGCCGUCAAAUCCCAGGGCUCAACCCUGGACAGGCGGUGGAAACUACCAAGCUGGAGUACGGUAGGGGCAGAGGGAAUUUCCGGUGGAGCGGUGGAAUGCGUUGAGAUCGGAAAGAACACCAACGGCGAAAACACUCUGCUGGGCCGACACUGACACUGAGAGACGAAAGCUAGGGGAGCAAAUGGGAUUAGAUACCCCAGUAGUCCCUGUCCUUAUACA